UUAUCUACUUAUAGUAUUUAUAUAUUGUUAGUAAAUGACAGCAUGGGAGAAAAUGGUUAAAACAUUAAAUCAAUCCAAAUCAGCUGAUACCAUCGUCUGCUCUAAUGUGUCGGUUAUGACAGUCGGACUUACCUUUAGUUCUCUGCAAUACAAAGUCGCCCUCUUUUUCCCUUAAUUCUGUAUUUUCGUCUGUAGAUGCACAUGUUCUAGCCGCCAUUCUAACACUAAAACUAACAUGGAGAGCAGAAAUGGGAAAAUGAUAUUGGGCUGUGUAUGGUUUACCAGACAGGUCUGGAAUUGUUGCCAGAAUCGCACUAUCACAGAUUUUCUAAUAUAUUACCAGCAAGCCGUUUAGGCACAGGAAUAUUCUUACUUGCUAGUAGACUGGCCACACUGACACGGCACUGCGCCUGCCUGUACUGGCCAGGACCUCUCUUCAUGGCUGAAGGCACCUGACUGACCUCUGGUACCCAUGACAAGAUUCAGUCUGAGUUAUCACGCAUUGACAUUGAAGAAAGCUAUUGUGGAGGAAGUGGAAAAUCACCGUCUGAUUGAGUGUCAGAGGCUUUUAGUUUACGCUCAGUGUUUGUCUUGACUUUCGAUGGCGAAGUGAACACAAACGGCUUCCAGAGAAACUCUCUGACAAUCAGAGCCACCAUUUUCCACUGCCUUAUUACAAGUGUUGGACAUAUUUUUGCCCUCUUUUUGCAAACGU